rnacentral:rRNA from 1 species
AGAGUUUGAUCAUGGCUCAGAUUGAACGCUGGCGGUAAGCCUUAAACAUGCAAGUCGUGCGGUAACAGACAUAAAGAUUUAGCUUGCUAAAUCCGGUGCUGACGAGCGGCGAACGGGUGAGUAACACGUAGGAAUCUACCCAGUAGCGGGGGAUAGCCCAGGGAAACUUGGAUUAAUACCGCAUACGCCCUAAGGGGGAAAGAAGGCCUCUCUUUGAAGCUUUCACUAUUGGAUGAGCCUGCGUAAGAUUAGCUUGUUGGUGGGGUAAAGGCCUACCAAGGCAACGAUCUUUAGCUGGUCUGAGAGGACGAUCAGCCACAUUGGGACUGAGACACGGCCCAGACUUCUACGGAAGGCAGCAGUUAGGAAUAUUGGACAAUGGGGGCAACCCUGAUCCAGCUAUACCGCGUGUGUGAAGAAGGCCCUAGGGUUGUAAAGCACUUUAAGCAGGGAAGAAGCAUAUUAAGUUAAUACCUUAAUAUGUUGACGUUACCUGAAGAAUAAGGACCGGCUAACUCCGUGCCAGCAGCCGCGGUAAUACGGAGGGUCCAAGCGUUAAUCGGAAUUACUGGGCGUAAAGCGCGCGUAGGCGGUUUAAUAAGUUGUAUGUGAAAGCCCUGGGCUCAACCUAGGAACUGCAUACAAAACUAUUAAGCUUGAGGACGAGAGAGGAGAGUAGAAUUUCAGGUGUAGCGGUGAAAUGCGUAGAUAUCUGAAGGAAUACCAAUGGCGAAGGCAGCUCUCUGGCUCGUUUCUGACGCUGAGGUGCGAAAGCGUGGGUAGCA